CCUUCGAUAGCUCAGUUGGUAGAGCGGUGGACUGUAGAAAUGCAAAUAAUGAUAGAGAAAUCCAUAGGUCGCUGGUUCAAAUCCGGCUCGAAGGA
rnacentral:tRNA from 1 species